AUGAACGCUAGCUACAGGCUUAACACAUGCAAGUCGAGGGGCAUCAGGGUGUAGCAAUACACCGCUGGCGACCGGCGCACGGGUGAGUAACACGUAUCCAACCUGCCCUUUACUCGGGGAUAGCCUUUCGAAAGAAAGAUUAAUACCCGAUGGUAUAACAUGACCUCCUGGUUUUGUUAUUAAAGAAUUUCGGUAGAGGAUGGGGAUGCGUUCCAUUAGGCAGUUGGCGGGGUAACGGCCCACCAAACCUUCGAUGGAUAGGGGUUCUGAGAGGAAGGUCCCCCACAUUGGAACUGAGACACGGUCCAAACUCCUACGGGAGGCAGCAGUGAGGAAUAUUGGUCAAUGGGCGAGAGCCUGAACCAGCCAAGUAGCGUGAAGGAUGACCGCCCUAUGGGUUGUAAACUUCUUUUAUAUGGGAAUAAAGGGUGCCACGUGUGGCAUUUUGUAUGUACCAUAUGAAUAAGGAUCGGCUAACUCCGUGCCAGCAGCCGCGGUAAUACGGAGGAUCCGAGCGUUAUCCGGAUUUAUUGGGUUUAAAGGGAGCGUAGGUGGACAUGUAAGUCAGUUGUGAAAGUUUGCGGCUCAACCGUAAAAUUGCAGUUGAUACUGCGUGUCUUGAGUACAGUAGAGGUGGGCGGAAUUCGUGGUGUAGCGGUGAAAUGCUUAGAUAUCACGAAGAACUCCGAUUGCGAAGGCAGCUCACUGGACUGCAACUGACACUGAUGCUCGAAAGUGUGGGUAUCAAACAGGAUUAGAUACCCUGGUAGUCCACACAGUAAACGAUGAAUACUCGCUGUUUGCGAUAUACAGUAAGCGGCCAAGCGAAAGCAUUAAGUAUUCCACCUGGGGAGUACGCCGGCAACGGUGAAACUCAAAGGAAUUGACGGGGGCCCGCACAAGCGGAGGAACAUGUGGUUUAAUUCGAUGAUACGCGAGGAACCUUAACCGGGCUUAAAUUGCAACAGAAUAUAUUGGAAACAGUAUAGCCGUAAGGCUGUUGUGAAGGUGCUGCAUGGUUGUCGUCAGCUCGUGCCGUGAGGUGUCGGCUUAAGUGCCAUAACGAGCGCAACCCUUAUCGAUAGUUACCAUCAGGUUAUGCUGGGGACUCUGUCGAGACUGCCGUCGUAAGAUGUGAGGAAGGUGGGGAUGACGUCAAAUCAGCACGGCCCUUACGUCCGGGGCUACACACGUGUUACAAUGGGGGGUACAGAAGGCCGCUACACAGCGAUGUGAUGCCAAUCCCUAAAGCCCCUCUCAGUUCGGAUCGAAGUCUGCAACCCGACUUCGUGAAGCUGGAUUCGCUAGUAAUCGCGCAUCAGCCACGGCGCGGUGAAUACGUUCCCGGGCCUUGUACACACCGCCCGUCAAGCCAUGGGAGCCGGGGGUACCUGAAGUACGUAACCGCAAGGAGCGUCCUAGGGUAAAACUGGUGACUGGGGCU
rnacentral:rRNA from 1 species